GUAGGAAGUAUAUUUGUGAAAUAUAUCCACCAGUGACAAAAGCAAAUGACCAAAGCUUAUGAGGUAACUCUGCAUAGGUGUUGUGAAGUUAGAGGUGUCAUGUUGAGAUAAAAAAAUACGCAAUUUGAUAUACUAUCCAUCAUUAUUAUUUGGAUUUACUGAUUCAAAAGUUGUAUUUUUAUAAAAAUUCUGUAAUGAACUCGUAUUGUUAUCAUUUAGACUAUACUGAAGAAUCUGGUGUAUAAGUUAUUUUACUACAGAGCCAAUAAUAUAUAGAUCUUUAUUUUGCAUUAAUUUCAUAGUGUAACGCUUCCUAGAACACAUAAGAUGACAACUUAUCAGUAUUUUCUAAUGAUUAAGUGAUUGACAGGUUUAAGUCUCUGCUGCAUCAAAGAAAGGUCACCCUUGACCCUACAUAUGAUUCAACUGAAAUCUUUCAACAUCGUGUCUACUUCAAUCUUCUUGCAUCAUGUCUAUGUAUAUGUAUUUGUUUUCGAAUAAUUGGGAUAUUGUUCUUAGAUUGUGUACAAACUGGUGUUGAAGUUUGUGUUUCUUCUGGUGUUGGAGUUUGUGUGUUUUAGUAUCCAGAACCUGAGUACACGAUUUUGGAAUAAUUCUUUUCCCUUCCCAAG
rnacentral:lncRNA from 1 species